rnacentral:rRNA from 1 species
CAAUAAGCGGAGGAAAAGAAACUAACAAGGAUUCCCCUAGUAACUGCGAGUGAAGCGGGAAAAGCUCAAAUUUAAAAUCUGGUGGCCAUCCGGCCAUCCGAGUUGUAAUUUAGAGAAGCGUCUUCCGCGCUGGACCAUGCACAAGUCUCCUGGAAUGGAGCGUCAUAGAGGGUGAGAAUCCCGUCUUUGGCAUGGAUGCACCAGGGCUUAUGUGAUGCGCUCUCGAAGAGUCGAGUUGUUUGGGAAUGCAGCUCAAAAUGGGUGGUGAACUCCAUCUAAAGCUAAAUAUUGGCGAGAGACCGAUAGCGAACAAGUACCGUGAGGGAAAGAUGAAAAGCACUUUGGAAAGAGAGUGAAACAGUACGUGAAAUUGUUGAAAGGGAAACGCUUGAAGUCAGUCGCGUCGACCGAGACUCAGCCUUGCCUCGGCUUGGUGUACUUCUUGAUCGACGGGUCAGCGUCAAUUUUGCCCCUCGGAUAAUGACAAGGGAAAGGUAGCACCUUUACGGGUGUGUUAUAGUCUCUCGUCGGAUGCGAGGGUCGGGAUUGAGGGACUCAGCACGCGCCUUUUGGUGUCGGGGCUUCGGCCUACGUUUACGUGCUUAGGAUGCUGGCAUAAUGGCUUUAAACGACCCGUCUUGAAACAC